rnacentral:ncRNA from 1 species
UCCGGUCGAGGGCACGCUGCGCAAUCGCGCGCCGUCCUCACCUCCCUGUUGGACUUCGCCGGGCCUUGUGCCCGGCUUUUUUU